AGUGAACGCUGGCGGUAGGCCUAAUACAUGCAAGUCGAGCGACCGCACAGUAAGCGCUCUCUUCUAAGGGUGGCGAGUGACGGACGGGUGAGACAUACAUAGGAUUCCACUUUUACUUGGGGGAUAACGGGGGGAAACAUCUGCUACUACCGAAUAUAAUCUACGGGAUAAAUCAGGAGUGAUUGGGACCUUUGCUGUCUCAAAUAGAUGGAGCCGGAUCAGCUAGUUGACGAGGUAAGGGCACACCAAGGCGACGAUCCGUAGCUGGUCUGAGAGGAUGAUCAGCCACACUGGAACUGAGACACGGUCCAGACUCCUACGGGAGGCAGCAGUGGGGAAUAUUGGACAAUGGGCGCAAGCCUGACGCAGCAAUACCGCGUGAGUGAAGAAGGCCUUCGGGUUGUAAAGCCCUUUUAUUGGGAAAGAAAAAAAGCGUAUGAAUAUCUCGCUGUUCUGACGGUACCCAAAGAGAAAGCACCGGCUAACUUCGUG
rnacentral:rRNA from 1 species